rnacentral:rRNA from 1 species
AGAGUUUGAUCAUGGCUCAGAUUGACGCUGGCGGAUGCUUUACACAUGCAAGUCGAGGGCAGGCGGGGGCAACCCUGGCGGCGAGCGGCGAACGGGUGAGUAAUAUAUCGGAACAUGUCCGGAAGUGGGGGGUAGCUCGCGAAAGCCGGAUUAAUACCGCAUAUGCCCUGAGGGGGAAAGCGGGGGAUCGUAAGACCUCGCGCUUUCGGAGUGGCCGAUAUCGGAUUAGCUAGUUGGUGGGGUAAAGGCUCACCAAGGCGACGAUCCGUAGCUGGUCUGAGAGGACGACCAGCCACACUGGAACUGAGACACGGUCCAGACUCCUACGGGAGGCAGCAGUGGGGAAUUUUGGACAAUGGGGGCAACCCUGAUCCAGCCAUUCCGCGUGAGUGAAGAAGGCUUCGGGUUGUAAAGCUCUUUCAGCUGGAAAGAAACGGUCACGGCCAAUACCCGUGACUAAUGACGGUACCAGCAGAAGAAGCACCGGCUAACUACGUGCCAGCAGCCGCGGUAAUACGUAGGGUGCGAGCGUUAAUCGGAAUUACUGGGCGUAANNCGUGCGCAGGCGGUUUUGUAAGACAGGUGUGAAAUCCCCGGGCUUAACCUGGGAACUGCAUUUGUGACUGCAAGGCUAGAGUACGGCAGAGGGGGGUAGAAUUCCACGUAGCAGUGAAAUGCGUAGAUAUGUGGAGGAAUACCGAUGGCGAAGGCAGCCCCCUGGGUCGAUACUGACGCUCAUGCACGAAAGCGUGGGGAGCAAACAGGAUUAGAUACCCUAGUAGUCC